AUGGGUGCAAGAUGCAACCUGAAAUACGCAACCAAAAAAAAAAAAAAAUGGAGAGUGAUGAUUGGAUGUCUGAAAUAUGAGAAUAGUGCGUUUGAUAUGAGUAGCAAAGUCUAGGAUGAUAACUGUAAUUUUCCAUGUCAUAUAAUACAAACUAACUCCAGGAUGAAUAUUUCUAAAGCAGGUGGUGGUUGACAAGUUCUCUGCCUCAAGGUUCAGGUAGUGAUCAACGUGGUGAUUGCAGUCAUGACUGUGGUCGUGAUCGUGGCCCUAAUCAGGCCUGUGGUGGUGGAUGUGGAGGUGGAGAUGGAGAGUGCUUGUGAAAAACCUGGGCAUUCUACAAGGGAGUGUCCUAGUGAAGAGGGCAGAGGAGGUAGUUAUGCGGGGAGCAAUGACAGGUAUGGAGGUGGAGGUGGUGGACACUAUGGUCCUGAUCGAAAUGGUGGUCGACCUGGCGGGUGCAAUAGAGAUAGUGGUACUCAAGGAGGAUCAUGAAAUGACUGUUAUAAUCAGGACCGUUAUGGUCCCUAUGGAUGUCGUCGUACAGGAAACUUCUGUUCAGGGUAGAAAGAAUUCUCCUGAUAGAGCAAUUGAAGAUACUGCUGUUACUUGCUGGAGGUGUCAAAGUCUCUUCUGUUGCAUCUCUUCUUCAUGGUUCUCCAGAGUUUAGAGAGAGAGAGAGAGAGGGAAGACGAGCUUCGAUGGAGUCAAGUCAACCAUAUCCAAGACUCUCUCUCUCUAUCCUCAUCUCCCUCCUCCCUCAACCCCUUCGUCUUCCGCCUCCAUCGCUACUUCUGCCGGUCGCUGCAUCGCCGAUGCCUCCCCUCUCGGCUCAUCCCCGAGCCUCGCUGAGCCGUCUCCGUCUCCCCCGGCUUCCGAGAGGUUCCACUUGCGGGGCGUUUCGCUUCUCUCGGUGCCUUCGGCGGACGCGGCGGCGGCAGCGGCGGCGGAGGAGGCGGAGUCGACGGUGAGGAUUGGAAGGUGAAAUCGGUGGUGGAUGGAGCCGAGGAAGCCUCUGGUGUCUCCUCUGAUGUGAUAAUUCUCGACGUCGGAUGUGCGGCCACUUGAGUGGCUCUGUUUCGUCUCUGCAGGGAAUGACUUGUGGGGGAUGUGCAGCGGGUAUGAAGAGAAUUUUGGAAAAUCAACAUUGGACAGCCUCAAGUAUCUGCUGCCAGCGUAAAUCUUACAACCGGGACAUCUAUUGUAUGGCCUGUAUCUGAAGCCAAGGCUAUGCCUAAUUGGCAAAAAGAGUUGGGAGAAACACUAGCAAAACACUUGACAAAUUGUGGCUUUAAGUCUAACCCUUGAGGUAAGCAGUUUUAUUCACCAUCUGCCUGUUGCAGUUGAAUGGGGUGUGGCUGACAUUCGUGAAUAUCAUUGCCGCAUAUAAUGUACCUUUUAUCACAGAUUGUCUGUGUCGAAGACUCCAUCUACUAGUUGGAAGUACAAGUUUUUAUAUCUGUAAUUUUCCCUGUCAUAUAAUACAAACUAACUCCGAGAAGAAUAUUUUUAAUGCUGGGGGUGGUUGACAAGUUCCCUGAAUGCUCUCAUGGAUUUGGUUUUGUGACUUUUGAUGAGAAGCAAGCAAUGGAUGAGGCUAUUGAGGCUAUGAAUGGGAUGGACUUGGAUGUGAGAAAUAUCAUUGAGGAAAAGGCUCAGCCUCAAUGUUCAGGUGGAGAGCAAGAUGUUGAUUGCAGUUGUAAAUGUGGCCCUGAUGGAGAUAGUGGUACUCAAGGAGGAUCAGGAAAUGACUGCUAAAUCAGGACCGUUCUGGUCCCUAUGAACAUCGUGGUACAGGAAACUUCCAUUCGGGUUAGAAAGAAUAUUCCUGAUAGGUAUGCACACAGGUUUUUUUCAGAUAUAUUAAAGCAGUUAAUGCUGUGCUGAUUGAAAAAUAUUUUGUGCUUGUAGCAGCGCAAUUGGACGUACUGCUGUUACUUGCAGGAGCCAAAGUCCCUUCUGUUGCGUCUCUUCUUUAUUGUUCUCUGGGUGGACAACUCUGCUUGAUCAGUCUUUUGAUGUGUGAACUUUGGCUAAAAGAUUCAACUAUUUAAUGUCCGUGAAUGCUCGUUUUGAUAUUUUGGUCUGAUGACAUUGCUUGCUUGACUUAAACAAUCAAAUUUGGCCUUACUCUGUCAAGGCUACGAUGGGUAGUGGAUUCUCUUUUGCUUACAAGCUUUAGCAAUUGCAAAUGCAUCUGAGAUUGAUCUUGGUUGACUUCUU